ACAUACAUAUGAUACUCUCAUACACAUAUGCAUCGCACACGCAGGCGCGACGCAUACAACAGAAUGCGCUUAUCCCAAGGCCGCGACUUUACUGCUCGCUGAGAUACCGCUUGCACCGACAAGUCGACGCGUCCGUCGUAUGAUCUCAUUCUCUUGCGCGCGGACGUCCUUCGUGCUUACGAUUUUUUUUUUUCCAUCAUUUUUCUAACGCCAGAUCAAAUUGUCGCACUCCAAGCGCGCGCGCUCCUCCUUCCCACGCAUGUCCCAGUACCUACGUGUCAUCAGGGCUGUAUUAAGAUACAGGCUCUGAUGUCUCUCUACGUGGGUGCUGGACAUGUGUGUGAUGCACAUGAUAAAGGGCAUGUAUAUACAUAUAUAUAUGCAUGCUCUACAAUGUAUCUAUAUCUAUACAUUUCGUUGUUGCGAAGAUUAGAAAAUCGUGGAGCAUGAUAGAACCGAACGCAGAUAAGAAUAUAAUGACAGUUUUAAUGUGAUAAAUGUUUACGGUGUGUAACACAAUGCACAGUCGAUGAAGUUUCCUCCAGUAAGCGCAUUCGUGCGGUUAUACAUGUGUGACCACGUAAGGAAACGUCUAUGACGAAGGUUAUGGCAUAACCGGAUAAGCAGAUCGCCGAGGUUUCUCAUUUCGCUAAAAGUAUGGGAAACUUUAUGGGUGACAUCGUGAUCUGCUUGAUGCUACUACUUUCAGUCAGUAUCAUAUUCGGAAUCAGCGAGAUCAUCAAAUCGUUGAC